UAACGGGAACUUAGUGCAUGGAACAACCCUUUAUAGUCUUAUUGUGAUGAGUUUACAAAUACCUAAUUAUCUGCUGAUUUCUAUGCAUUUCUAUAUCAAUUAUUUUCUGCUUCCCAAAAUGAUGAAGGAACUAGCUAGCAAGUGUUCUUAAUAAUUACCACUUGGUAUGUCUAUCAUGAUCAUGGUCUCCUUCUAAGUUCUAACUGCAUAAUUACAAAAAACUAAAUAAAUACUCUACUUAAUAAAGCAACAACCCGAUAUACAAAGUAUUAUGUAUUCACGUAAGAUUCAGGAAAAGCUACACUUUAAAAGUGUGAUAUAAAUAACAUACACUAAUGCAAGUAUUAGUAAUUGCUUUUACGGUUCGAAUCCCUAACCUAUAGAUGAUAGAGACAAC
rnacentral:lncRNA from 1 species